rnacentral:rRNA from 1 species
UACGUAGGGGGGCAAGCGUUGUCCGGAUUUAUUGGGCGUAAAGAGCGUGUAGGCGGCCCGGUAAGUCCGCUGUGAAAGUCGGGGGCUCAACCCUCGAAUGCCGGUGGAUACUGUCGGGCUAGAGUCCGGGAGAGGAGUGUGGAAUUCCUGGUGUAGCGGUGAAAUGCGCAGAUAUCAGGAGGAACACCAAUGGCGAAGGCAGCACUCUGGGACGUGACUGACGCUGAGACGCGAAAGCGUGGGGAGCAAACAGG